UACGUAGGGGGCAAGCGCUGUCCGGAUUCACUGGGCGUAAAGGGUGUGUAGGCGGACUGGUGGGUCGAUGGUGAAAGCUCACGGCUCAACCGGGAAAUGGCUGUCGAAACUACCAGUCUUGAGGGCAGGAGAGGAAACUGGAACUUCCGGUGUAGCGGUAGAAUGCGUAGAUAUCGGAAGGAACGCCAAUAGCGAAGGCAGGUUUCUGGAAUGCACCUGACGCUGAGACACGAAAGCUAGGGGAGCGAACAGGAUUAGAUACCCGCGUA
rnacentral:rRNA from 1 species